GACGAACGCUGGCGGCGUGCUUAACACAUGCAAGUCGAACGGUAAGGCCCUUCGGGGUACACGAGUGGCGAACGGGUGAGUAACACGUGGGUGAUCUGCCCUGCACUUCGGGAUAAGCUUGGGAAACUGGGUCUAAUACCGGAUAGGACCACGGUCUGCAUGGAUUGUGGUGGAAAGCUUUUUGCGGUGUGGGAUGGGCCCGCGGCCUAUCAGCUUGUUGGUGGGGUGAUGGCCUACCAAGGCGACGACGGGUAGCCGGCCUGAGAGGGUGUCCGGCCACACUGGGACUGAGAUACGGCCCAGACUCCUACGGGAGGCAGCAGUGGGGAAUAUUGCACAAUGGGCGCAAGCCUGAUGCAGCGACGCCGCGUUGGGGGG
rnacentral:rRNA from 1 species